rnacentral:rRNA from 1 species
GCUUAGUGGCGGACUGGUGAGUAACACGUGAGCAACCUGCCUUUCAGUGGGGGACAACAUUUGGAAACGAAUGCUAAUACCGCAUAAGACCACAGUGUCGCAUGGCACAGGGGUCAAAGGAUUUAUCCGCUGAAAGAUGGGCUCGCGUCUGAUUAGAUAGUUGGUGAGGUAACGGCCCACCAAGUCGACGAUCAGUAGCCGGACUGAGAGGUUGAUCGGCCACAUUGGGACUGAGACACGGCCCAGACUCC